rnacentral:rRNA from 1 species
GACGAACGCUGGCGGCGUGCUUAACACAUGCAAGUCGAACGGAAAGGCCCUGCUUUUGGGGGGUGCUCGAAUGGCGAACGGGUGAGUAACACGUGAGUAACCUGCCCUUGACUUUGGGAUAACUUCAGGAAACUGGGGCUAAUACCGGAUAGGAGCUCCUGCGGCAGGGGGGGGGUUGGAAAGUUUGGGCGGGUGGGGAUGGACUCGCGGCUUAUCAGCUUGUUGGUGGGGUAGUGGCUUACCAAGGCUUUGACGGGUAGCCGGCCUGAGAGGGUGACCGGCCACAUUGGGACUGAGAUACGGCCCAGACUCCUACGGGAGGCAGCAGUGGGGAAUAUUGCACAAUGGGCGGAAGCCUGAUGCAGCAACGCCGCGUGCGGGAUGACGGCCUUCGGGUUGUAAACCGCUUUCGCCUGUGACGAAGCGUGAGUGACGGUAAUGGGUAAAGAAGCACCGGCUAACUACGUG